GCCAAGUGGUCUAACGGUUAAGACGCACCGGAAUAAGUGUACACAGGGACUUUUUCACUUAUCUGGUGAAUCUGGGUUCGACUCCCAGCAAUGGCA